rnacentral:snoRNA from 1 species
AAAAUUAUUUAGGAGGCCAUCUGAUCUCCUACUGCAUGCAGGAGCAACGUGGAGAGACGGUGACAGUUCAGGUCAGCACCGCAUCUGCAGUUGCCACUCGCCUUUCCUCUCACA